GGUUAAGCGACUAAGCGUACACGGUGGAUGCCCUGGCAGUCAGAGGCGAUGAAGGACGUGCUAAUCUGCGAUAAGCGUCGGUAAGGUGAUAUGAACCGUUAUAACCGGCGAUUUCCGAAUGGGGAAACCCAGUGUGWUUCGWCACACUAUCAUUAACUGAAUCCAUAGGUUAAUGAGGCGAACCGGGGGAACUGAAACAUCUAAGUACCCCGAGGAAAAGAAAUCAACCGAGAUUCCCCCAGUAGCGGCGAGCGAACGGGGAGCAGCCCAGAGCCUGAAUCAGUGUGUGUGUUAGUGGAAGCGUCUGGAAAGGCGCGCGAUACAGGGUGACAGCCCCGUACACAAAAAUGCACAUGCUGUGAGCUCGAUGAGUAGGGCGGGACACGUGGUAUCCUGUCUGAAUAUGGGGGGACCAUCCUCCAAGGCUAAAUACUCCUGACUGACCGAUAGUGAACCAGUACCGUGAGGGAAAGGCGAAAAGAACCCCGGCGAGGGGAGUGAAAAAGAACCUGAAACCGUGUACGUACAAGCAGUGGGAGCACGCUUAGGCGUGUGACUGCGUACCUUUUGUAUAAUGGGUCAGCGACUUAUAUUCUGUAGCAAGGUUAACCGAAUAGGGGAGCCGAAGGGAAACCGAGUCUUAACUGGGCGUUAAGUUGCAGGGUAUAGACCCGAAACCCGGUGAUCUAGCCAUGGGCAGGUUGAAGGUUGGGUAACACUAACUGGAGGACCGAACCGACUAAUGUUGAAAAAUUAGCGGAUGACUUGUGGCUGGGGGUGAAAGGCCAAUCAAACCGGGAGAUAGCUGGUUCUCCCCGAAAGCUAUUUAGGUAGCGCCUCGUGAAUUCAUCUCCGGGGGUAGAGCACUGUUUCGGCAAGGGGGUCAUCCCGACUUACCAACCCGAUGCAAACUGCGAAUACCGGAGAAUGUUAUCACGGGAGACACACGGCGGGUGCUAACGUCCGUCGUGAAGAGGGAAACAACCCAGACCGCCAGCUAAGGUCCCAAAGUCAUGGUUAAGUGGGAAACGAUGUGGGAAGGCCCAGACAGCCAGGAUGUUGGCUUAGAAGCAGCCAUCAUUUAAAGAAAGCGUAAUAGCUCACUGGUCGAGUCGGCCUGCGCGGAAGAUGUAACGGGGCUAAACCAUGCACCGAAGCUGCGGCAGCGACGCUUAUGCGUUGUUGGGUAGGGGAGCGUUCUGUAAGCCUGUGAAGGUGUGCUGUGAGGCAUGCUGGAGGUAUCAGAAGUGCGAAUGCUGACAUAAGUAACGAUAAAGCGGGUGAAAAGCCCGCUCGCCGGAAGACCAAGGGUUCCUGUCCAACGUUAAUCGGGGCAGGGUGAGUCGACCCCUAAGGCGAGGCCGAAAGGCGUAGUCGAUGGGAAACAGGUUAAUAUUCCUGUACUUGGUGUUACUGCGAAGGGGGGACGGAGAAGGCUAUGUUGGCCGGGCGACGGUUGUCCCGGUUUAAGCGUGUAGGCUGGUUUUCCAGGCAAAUCCGGAAAAUCAAGGCUGAGGCGUGAUGACGAGGCACUACGGUGCUGAAGCAACAAAUGCCCUGCUUCCAGGAAAAGCCUCUAAGCAUCAGGUAACAUCAAAUCGUACCCCAAACCGACACAGGUGGUCAGGUAGAGAAUACCAAGGCGCUUGAGAGAACUCGGGUGAAGGAACUAGGCAAAAUGGUGCCGUAACUUCGGGAGAAGGCACGCUGAUAUGUAGGUGAAGUCCCUCGCGGAUGGAGCUGAAAUCAGUCGAAGAUACCAGCUGGCUGCAACUGUUUAUUAAAAACACAGCACUGUGCAAACACGAAAGUGGACGUAUACGGUGUGACGCCUGCCCGGUGCCGGAAGGUUAAUUGAUGGGGUCAGCGCAAGCGAAGCUCUUGAUCGAAGCCCCGGUAAACGGCGGCCGUAACUAUAACGGUCCUAAGGUAGCGAAAUUCCUUGUCGGGUAAGUUCCGACCUGCACGAAUGGCGUAAUGAUGGCCAGGCUGUCUCCACCCGAGACUCAGUGAAAUUGAACUCGCUGUGAAGAUGCAGUGUACCCGCGGCAAGACGGAAAGACCCCGUGAACCUUUACUAUAGCUUGACACUGAACAUUGAGCCUUGAUGUGUAGGAUAGGUGGGAGGCUUAGAAGUGUGGACGCCAGUCUGCAUGGAGCCGACCUUGAAAUACCACCCUUUAAUGUUUGAUGUUCUAACGUUGACCCGUAAUCCGGGUUGCGGACAGUGUCUGGUGGGUAGUUUGACUGGGGCGGUCUCCUCCUAAAGAGUAACGGAGGAGCACGAAGGUUGGCUAAUCCUGGUCGGACAUCAGGAGGUUAGUGCAAUGGCAUAAGCCAGCUUGACUGCGAGCGUGACGGCGCGAGCAGGUGCGAAAGCAGGUCAUAGUGAUCCGGUGGUUCUGAAUGGAAGGGCCAUCGCUCAACGGAUAAAAGGUACUCCGGGGAUAACAGGCUGAUACCGCCCAAGAGUUCAUAUCGACGGCGGUGUUUGGCACCUCGAUGUCGGCUCAUCACAUCCUGGGGCUGAAGUAGGUCCCAAGGGUAUGGCUGUUCGCCAUUUAAAGUGGUACGCGAGCUGGGUUUAGAACGUCGUGAGACAGUUCGGUCCCUAUCUGCCGUGGGCGCUGGAGAACUGAGGGGGGCUGCUCCUAGUACGAGAGGACCGGAGUGGACGCAUCACUGGUGUUCGGGUUGUCAUGCCAAUGGCACUGCCCGGUAGCUAAAUGCGGAAGAGAUAAGUGCUGAAAGCAUCUAAGCACGAAACUUGCCCCGAGAUGAGUUCUCCCUGACUCCUUGAGAGUCCUGAAGGAACGUUGAAGACGACGACGUUGAUAGGCCGGGUGUGUAAGCGCAGCGAUGCGUUGAGCUAACCGGUACUAAUGAACCGUGAGGCUUAACCUU
rnacentral:rRNA from 1 species